AGAGUUUGAUCCUGGCUCAGAUUGAACGCUGGCGGCAUGCUUUACACAUGCAAGUCGAACGGCAGCACGGGGGCAACCCUGGUGGCGAGUGGCGAACGGGUGAGUAACACAUCGGAACAUAUCCUUGAGUGGGGGAUAACGCAGCGAAAGUUGUGCUAAUACCGCAUAAGCUCUGAGGAGGAAAGCAGGGGACCGCAAGGCCUUGCGCUGGAGGGAUGGCCGAUGUCCGAUUAGCUAGUUGGUGGGGUAAAGGCUUACCAAGGCGACGAUCGGUAGCUGGUCUGAGAGGAUGAUCAGCCACACUGGGACUGAGACACGGCCCAGACUCCUACGGGAGGCAGCAGUGGGGAAUUUUGGACAAUGGGGGCAACCCUGAUCCAGCCAUGCCGCGUGAGUGAAGAAGGCCUUCGGGUUGUAAAGCUCUUUCGUGGGGGAAGAAAGGACUUGAGUGAAUAGCUUGAGUUGAUGACGGUACCCCAAGAAGAAGCACCGGCUAACUACGUGCCAGCAGCCGCGGUAAUACGUAGGGUGCGAGCGUUAAUCGGAAUUACUGGGCGUAAAGCGUGCGCAGGUGGUUUGUUAAGUCAGAUGUGAAAGCCCUGGGCUUAACCUAGGAAUUGCGUUUGAAACUGGCGAGCUAGAGUCUGUCAGAGGGGGGUAGAAUUCCAUGUGUAGCAGUGAAAUG
rnacentral:rRNA from 1 species